CCUACGGGUGACAGCAGUGGGGAAUAUUGGACAAUGGGGGGAACCCUGAUCCAGCGACGCCGCGUGAGUGAAGAAGGAUUUCGGGAUGUAAAGCUCUAUCAGCAGGGAAGAAAAUGACGGUACCUGACUAAGAAGCCCCGGCUAACGACGUGCCAGCAGCCGCGGGAAUACGACGGGGGCAAGCGUUAUCCGGAUUUACUGGGGGUAACGGGAGCGUAGCCGGUGCAGCAAGUCUGAUGUGAAGGGUCGGGGCCCAACCCCGGGACUGCAUUGGAAACUGUUGAACUGGAGUCCAGGAGAGGUAAGCGGACUUCCUAGUGUAGCGGUGACAUGCGUAGAUAUUAGGAGGAACACCAGUGGCGAAGGCGGCUUACUGGACUGUAACUGACGUUGAGGCUCGAACGCGUGGGGAGCAAACAGGAUUAGAUACCCUUGUAGUC
rnacentral:rRNA from 1 species